CCUACGGGUGGCAGCAGUGGGGAAUAUUGGGCAAUGGGCGCAAGCCUGACCCAGCAACGCCGCGUGAAGGAAGAAGGCUUUCGGGUUGUAAACUUCUUUUGUCAGGGAAGAGUAGAAGACGGUACCUGACGAAUAAUCCACGGCUUACUACCUGCCAGCAGCCGCGGUAAUACGUAGGUGGCAAGCGUUGUCCGGAUUUACUGGGUGUAAAGGGCGUGUAGCCGGGUUGACAAGUCAGAUGUGAAAUCCUGCGGCUUAACCGGAGAACUGCAUUUGAAACUGUUGAUCUUGAGUACUGGAGAGGCAGAUGGAAUUCCUAGUGUAGCGGUGAAAUGCGUAGAUAUUAGGAGGAACACCAGUGGCGAAGGCGGUCUGCUGGACAGCAACUGACGGUGAGGCGCGAAAGCGUGGGGAGCAAACAGGAUUAGAUACCCCAGUAGUC
rnacentral:rRNA from 1 species